rnacentral:rRNA from 2 species
GGAUGAACGCUGGCGGCGUGCCUAAUACAUGCAAGUCGAGCGAACAGAUAAGGAGCUUGCUCCUUUGACGUUAGCGGCGGACGGGUGAGUAACACGUGGAUAACCUACCUAUAAGACUGGGAUAACUUCGGGAAACCGGAGCUAAUACCGGAUAACAUAUUGAACCGCAUGGUUCAAUAGUGAAAGGCGGCUUUGCUGUCACUUAUAGAUGGAUCCGCGCCGUAUUAGCUAGUUGGUAAGGUAACGGCUUACCAAGGCAACGAUACGUAGCCGACCUGAGAGGGUGAUCGGCCACACUGGAACUGAGACACGGUCCAGACUCCUACGGGAGGCAGCAGUAGGGAAUCUUCCGCAAUGGGCGAAAGCCUGACGGAGCAACGCCGCGUGAGUGAUGAAGGUCUUCGGAUCGUAAAACUCUGUUAUCAGGGAAGAACAAAUGUGUAAGUAACUGUGCACAUCUUGACGGUACCUGAUCAGAAAGCCACGGCUAACUACGUGCCAGCAGCCGCGGUAAUACGUAGGUGGCAAGCGUUAUCCGGAAUUAUUGGGCGUAAAGCGCGCGUAGGCGGUUUUUUAAGUCUGAUGUGAAAGCCCACGGCUCAACCGUGGAGGGUCAUUGGAAACUGGAAAACUUGAGUGCAGAAGAGGAAAGUGGAAUUCCAUGUGUAGCGGUGAAAUGCGCAGAGAUAUGGAGGAACACCAGUGGCGAAGGCGACUUUCUGGUCUGUAACUGACGCUGAUGUGCGAAAGCGUGGGGAUCAAACAGGAUUAGAUACCCUGGUAGUCCACGCCGUAAACGAUGAGUGCUAAGUGUUAGGGGGUUUCCGCCCCUUAGUGCUGCAGCUAACGCAUUAAGCACUCCG